rnacentral:rRNA from 1 species
GGUGGUGCAUGGUUGUCGUCAGCUCGUGUCGUGAGAUGUUGGGUUAAGUCCCGCAACGAGUGCAACCCUUAAGCUUAGUUGCCAUCAUUAAGUUGGGCACUCUAGGUUGACUGCCGGUGACAAACCGGAGGAAGGUGGGGAUGACGUCAAAUCAUCAUGCCCCUUAUGAUUUGGGCUACACACGUGCUACAAUGGACAAUACAAAGGGCAGCUAAACCGCGAGGUCAUGCAAAUCCCAUAAAGUUGUUCUCAGUUCGGAUUGUAGUCUGCAACUCGACUACAUGAAGCUGGAAUCGCUAGUAAUCGUAGAUCAGCAUGCUACGGUGAAUACGUUCCCGGGUCUUGUACACAC